UGGGGAAUAUUGCACAAUGGGCGCAAGCCUGAUGCAGCCAUGCCGCGUGUGUGAAGAAGGCCUUCGGGUUGUAAAGCACUUUCAGCGAGGAGGAAGGUGGUGAGCUUAAUACGCUCAUCAAUUGACGUUACUCGCAGAAGAAGCACCGGCUAACUCCGUGCCAGCAGCCGCGGUAAUACGGAGGGUGCAAGCGUUAAUCGGAAUUACUGGGCGUAAAGCGCACGCAGGCGGUUUGUUAAGUCAGAUGUGAAAUCCCCGGGCUCAACCUGGGAACUGCAUUUGAAACUGGCAAGCUAGAGUCUCGUAGAGGGGGGUAGAAUUCCAGGUGUAGCGGUGAAAUGCGUAGAGAUCUGGAGGAAUACCGGUGGCGAAGGCGGCCCCCCUGGACGAAGACUGACGCUCAGGUGCGAAAAGGCGUGGGGAGCAAAACAGGAUUAGAUACCCUGGUAGUCCACGCUGUAAAACGAUGUCGAUUUUGGAGGUUGUGCCCCUUGAGGCGUGGNUUCCGGAGCUAACGCGUUAAAUCGACCGCCUGGGGAGUACGGCCNCAAGGUUAAAACUCAAAUGAAUU
rnacentral:rRNA from 1 species